CCUACGGGCGGCAGCAGUGGGGAAUAUUGGGCAAUGGGCGCAAGCCUGACCCAGCAACGCCGCGUGAAGGAAGAAGGCUCUCGGGUUGUAAACUUCUUUUAUUAGGGACGAAGCAAGUGACGGUACCUGAUGAAUAAGCCUAGGCUAACAACGUGCCAGCAGCAGCGGUAAUACGUAGGUGGCAAGCGUUAUCCGGAUUUACUUGGUGUAAAGGGUGUGUAGGUGGGUAGGCAAGUCAGAUGUGAAAACCAUGGGCUCAACCUGUGGCCUGCAUUUGAAACUGUUUUUCUUGAGUACUGGAGAGGCAGACGGAAUUCCUGGUGUAGCGGUGAAAUGCUUAGAUAUUAGGAAGAACACCGAUGGCGAAGGCGGUCUGCUGGACAGCAACUGACGCUGAGGCGCGAAAGCGUGGGGAGCAAACAGGAUUAGAUACCCCUGUAGUC
rnacentral:rRNA from 1 species